rnacentral:antisense_RNA from 1 species
CUGUAAUGUAAGAAAUGCCUUUCGCCUCCUGCCGUAAUUCUGAGGCCUCACAGCCAUGUGGAACUUCUUCAGGAGAGAACUAACAUCCAAAUGGAUUCCCAGAAAACUUUUCCCUCGAUGUACCAGCAAACACCUACAAUGCCUGGAAAAGCUGCCUCUGCGACCACAAUGCAGAUCACACGUCCUGUCCCAGCCCCUGCAGCCUCCACGCGGCGGGUGAGCUGCCAGGCACGGGAAGGCAGCACUGGCGAGCAGAACUGGCCCAUUUUGCAGAUAGGAAGCUGAGCCUCAGGGACGUUUCACGCCUUCGUCAAGGUGGUGAGAGGAGGAGCGGGGUUUGCCGCCCGACUUCAGGGAUCUGUCACCCUCGUCCAGCAGGGUUGGUUCUUCCUGAGGCUGGGAGGAUGCCAAGCCUGGUGGAGGAUGGGGGCGGUGGUGUGGUGUGGGGAGCUUCUGACUUGCACAUCCUGAGGGAGCCUUCUGCAGCUGAUGUGUGAACUGGACCCCUGGCGAUGCCUCCGAGGAAUCUCCAAGGCUAUGGCCCCUCAGGUCCUGCUGGGGUGCUGGCCCCCACCUCUGCCUCAGGAUGCAGGGAUUCUGCAGGGAAGCCGCAGACCAGCCUGCUGCCUUGGCCCCUAGGGAUACUGCAGCCCCAGAAAGAACUGUGGGGGACAAAAGAGUUGUUUCUUGGGGGAGAAAACACCUGUGAGGAAAUGCAGGUGCCACAGAGGGAAAUCCUCCUGGGGAGGAGGGUACCUGUUCCAUCCUCGGCCGACACGGGACUGCCUGGUGCCUGGUACCCACAGCCGCUACCUGACGCACGCAUCUCUCCAUGGUUUGCUAAUUACUUCCAUUAGUUUUAAACAAACUUGAUAAGAGACAGAAGGGUCCAGAGAGAAAUUAAAU